rnacentral:lncRNA from 1 species
CAAAAAUGUUCAUUGUUGAUAUAUAAGCAUGAGUGUAUAUUAUACUCUGCUAUGGCUCUCACUCUGUUACUUAUAUCACCAGGCAUCCAUGUUGCUUUGUGAAUAUCUAGUUCGUUGCCUCUAACUGCAUGGUCCUCUAUGCUUACCCAGUUACUCCCUAGCGGUGGAUGCCCUCCAACCUCCCACUACAAUGUACAAUAAUAUUAUGCCAAGACACUGGACAUUGAUUUCCUCUUGCAUUUUAUUUGAAGUGAAUUCACGAUGGUGGAUGGGAAAACUAGAGCCAGAAAUCUUUGCCCUGAGCACAAACCAAAGCAAAAUCAAAGCCUUUCUGAGAGUACACUUCACAAAAUAUUUCUUAUGAAUGAUGGAGAAAAAACAGAAGCUUGGACACAGGGCCUGCUUUGUAUAAAGGAAUGCUUCACUUGGUAAUUUAUUUUUCUUAAAUUUCUCCUUAAUCCUGUUUCAAUAUGCUAAUCUCCCUUGUUUCUUCAUCAGGCCUGCUUUAGAAUUGUUU